rnacentral:rRNA from 1 species
GACGAACGCUGGCGGCGUGCUUAACACAUGCAAGUCGAACGAAGUGGCGAACGGGUGAGUAACGCGUAAUCAACCUGCCCUUCAGAGGGGGACAACAGUUGGAACCGACUGCUAAUACUUCAUACUGAAUGAGGGGAUUGCGUCUGAUUAGCUAGUUGGAGGGGUAACGGCCCACCAAGGCGAUGAUCAGUAGCCGGUCUGGGAGGAGGAACGGCCAAAUAGGGACUGGGACACGGGCCAGACUCCUACGGGAGGCAGCAGGGGGGGAUCGUCCGCAAUGGACGAAAGUCUGACGGAGCAACGCCGCGUGAGGGAUGACGGCCUUCGGGUUGUAAAGCUCUGUUAAGCGGGACGCGGUACCGAAAUAGAAAGCCACGGCUAACUACGUGCCAGCAGCCGCGGUAAUAC